rnacentral:rRNA from 1 species
ACCGGCGGCUCAAGUGGUGGCCAUUAUUACUGGGCCUAAAGCGUUCGUAGCCGGCUUGAUAAGUCUCUGGGGAAAUCCUCCGGCUCAACCGGAAGGCUUCCUAGGGAUACUGGUAGGCUAGGGGUCGGGAGAGGUGAGAGGUACUCCAAGGGUAGGGGUGAAAUCCUGUAAUCCUUGGGGGACCACCUGUGGCGAAGGCGUCUCACCGGAACGGCUCCGACAGUGAGGAACGAAAGCUAGGGGAGCAAACCG